rnacentral:misc_RNA from 1 species
AAGUCGUAACAAGGUUUCCGUAGGUGAACCUGCGGAAGGAUCAUUAACAUCUGUUUUUGGAAUGUGGUGGUGUUUUUUCUCUUAGGAGAAGAGCAUUGCCCAUCUACCCCAUUGUGUGCAUGUAUGUGUGAGUGUGAGUUGGUAGAGCCUAGCUCUACUCAUCUCUUCACUUCACCUCUCACUUUUAACCCCAAACCCCUUCUUCUCAUCACACUAGACUGACUUUCAAUCCUCGUUUUCGCUCCCUACCAACGGAGCAAAACAUCAAUCAGCAUACAACUCUUAGCAACGGAUAUCUAGGCUCUC